GCCUCGGCUCCUACAGGAGGGGAGACAGCUACAGGGAGUCAGCCCUCCACCUUCAGGCUCGGCUCCUACAGGAGCAGGGGAGACAGCUACGGGAGUCAGCCCUUCCCAUUCAGGAAAUACUGCAUGGGCCUUUUGAUUACCGAGAGGAACGAAGACAGUGACUCUUGAUAGGUCAGAGUUUGGGUGGUUUGCUACAGGAUUGGAAAUCACACACACACACACACACACACACACACACACACACACACACACCACACACACACACACACACACACACAACACACACACACACACACACACACACACACCACACAGACAGACAGACAGACAGACAGACAGACAGACAGACAGACAGACAGACAGACAGACAGACAGGACAGACAGACAGACAGACAGACAGACAGAGUCUUAUCCAGGAGUACUUGUUCUUUCAUUUUUAAACUAAGCUGUAGAUGCCUAUACAAGAGGUAAGUUAAAAAUGACAGCAUUAACUAUGCAAAAAAAUAAUAAUUACUAACAUUAAUAAGUCCCCAGCUAAUUAUCUUCUUUUCAUAUUCUAUUAGAUUCAAGAUUCAGGAUCUCCUUGACGACAGAGAAGACGUGUUUACUCCGGACCAGAUGAGAAUGAUGGAUGACCACAGGACCAGCAGGAGAGCGGCGGCCGCCUUUCUUUCAGUCGGCUAAGACAGGACUCCUCUCUGUGUUUUUGGCACACCCUGGACAGCUGAGAGUAGACGUCAACCAACCAGUCACCCCAGGCAGACCGCUGACCCACUCUCAGUACUCUACCUGCUCCCAGGCACCAAGCCCUGUCUGAAGACCCAGUGAGGACAGUUCCACCCCGACCCCCACCAACACCACCUUCACCUGCCAAGAGGAUGAUUACCGCCCCAGCCCGACCAGCACAGACGACGUUGUUAUCGUCUGCUUCUUCUUCUGUGGGUCCGGGAUGCUCCUCACAUACACAGGAAGCUGGCACCACAGACACUUGAGACUGAAUAAAAAAAAUCUUAAAGUAAUUAGUUUGUACAAUAUGUAAACUGUUUAUCUCUGAAUAGUGCAAUGCAAUACCAAGUGUAAGACAAACCUUCUAAAUAUUUGUAAUUAUGUAUACACAAUAUUAUAUACUUGUAUUUAUCAUUCACAAAUCUGACAAUGUGUGACUGGAAUAAAUUAUUGUGCAAAUGAUGA